UCGGAACGAACUNUGGNAUNGNUUGGUGCUUGCAUCNUGANUUACAUUNGAGGUGAGUGGCGAACUGGUGAGUAACACGUGGGAAACCUGCCCAGAAGCGGGGGAUAACACCUGGAAACAGAUGCUAAUACCGCAUAACAACUUGGACCGCAUGGUCCGAGUUUGAAAGAUGGCUUCGGCUAUCACUUUUGGAUGGUCCCGCGGCGUAUUAGCUAGAUGGUGNGGUAACGGCUCACCAUGGCAAUGAUACGUAGCCGACCUGAGAGGGUAAUCGGCCACAUUGGGACUGAGACACGGCCCAAACUCCUACGGGAGGCAGCAGUAGGGAAUCUUCCACAAUGGACGAAAGUCUGAUGGAGCAACGCCGCGUGAGUGAAGAAGGGUUUCGGCUCGUAAAACUCUGUUGUUAAAGAAGAACAUAUCUGAGAGUAACUGUUCAGGUAUUGACGGUAUUUAACCAGAAAGCCACGGCUAACUACGUGCCAGCAGCCGCGGUAAUACGUAGGUGGCAAGCGUUGUCCGGAUUUAUUGGGCGUAAAGCGAGCGCAGGCGGUUUUUUAAGUCUGAUGUGAAAGCCUUCGGCUCAACCGAAGAAGUGCAUCGGAAACUGGGAAACUUGAGUGCAGAAGAGGACAGUGGAACUCCAUGUGUAGCGGUGAAAUGCGUAGAUAUAUGGAAGAACACCAGUGGCGAAGGCGGCUGUCUGGUCUGUAACUGACGCUGAGGCUCGAAAGUAUGGGUAGCAAACAGGAUUAGAUACCCUGGUAGUCCAUACCGUAAACGAUGAAUGCUAAGUGUUGGAGGGUUUCCGCCCUUCAGUGCUGCAGCUAACGCAUUAAGCAUUUCCGCCUGGGGAGUACGGCCGCAAGGCUGAAACUCAAAGGAAUUUGACGGGGGCCCGCACAAGCGGUGGAGCAUGUGGUUUUAAUUCGAAGCUACGCGAAGAACCUUACCAGGUCUUGACAUACUAUGCAAAUCUAAGAGAUUAGACGUUCCCUUCGGGGACAUGGAUACAGGUGGUGCAUGGUUGUCGUCAGCUCGUGUCGUGAGAUGUUGGGUUAAGUCCCGCAACGAGCGCAACCCUUAUUAUCAGUUGCCAGCAUUAAGUUGGGCACUCUGGUGAGACUGCCGGUGACAAACCGGAGGAAGGUGGGGAUGACGUCAAAUCAUCAUGCCCCUUAUGACCUGGGCUACACACGUGCUACAAUGGAUGGUACAACGAGUUGCGAACUCGCGAGAGUAAGCUAAUCUCUUAAAGCCAUUCUCAGUUCGGAUUGUAGGCUGCAACUCGCCUACAUGAAGUCGGAAUCGCUAGUAAUCGCGGAUCAGCAUGCCGCGGUGAAUACGUUCCCGGGCCUUGUACACACCGCCCGUCACACCAUGAGAGUUUGNAACACCCAAAGUCGGUGGGGUAAUCUCUUUUAGGAACCANCC
rnacentral:rRNA from 1 species